rnacentral:rRNA from 1 species
CUACGGGCCGCUCCAGUGGGGAAUAUUGCACAAUGGGCGCAAGCCUGAUGCAGCAACGCCGCGUGAGGGAUGAAGGCCUUCGGGUUGUAAACCUCUUUUAGCAGGGAAGAAGCGAAAGUGACGGUACCUGCAGAAAAAGCACCGGCUAACUACGUGCCAGCAGCCGCGGUAAUACGUAGGGUGCAAGCGUUGUCCGGAAUUAUUGUGCGUAAAGAGCUCGUAGGCGGUUUGUCACGUCUGCUGUGAAAAUCCAAGGCUCAACCUUGGACGUGCAGUGGGUACGGGCAGGCUAGAGUGCGGUAGGGGAGAUGGGAAUUCCUGGUGUAGCGGUGGAAUGCGCAGAUAUCAGGAGGAACACCAAUGGCGAAGGCACAUCUCUGGGCCGUAACUGACGCUGAGGAGCGAAAGCGUGGGGAGCGAACAGGAUUAGAUACCCGAGUAGUC